UGGGGGAUAUUGCACAAUGGGCGAAAGCCUGAUGCAGCGACGCCGCGUGGGGGAUGAAGGCCUUCGGGUUGUAAACUUCUUUUGCUCUGAACAAGGCAUGCUAAUGGGUGUGUUGAGUGUAGGGGUUGAUUAGCGCCGGCUAACUACGUGCCAGCAGCCGCGGUAAUACGUAGGGCGCGAGCGUUGUCCGGAAUUAUUGGGCGUAAAGGGCUUGUAGGUGGCUGGUUGCGUCUGUCGUGAAAGCUCAUGGCUUAACUGUGGGUUUGCGGUGGGUACGGGCUGGCUUGAGUGCAGUAGGGGAGGCUGGAAUUCAUGGUGUAGCGGUGGAAUGCGCAGAUAUCAGGAGGAAUACCGGUGGCGAAGGCGGGUCUCUGGGCUGUUACUGACACUGAGGAGCGAAAGCAUGGGGAGCGAACAGG
rnacentral:rRNA from 1 species